AGUGGAAUUGCUGGGUCAUAUGGUAAUUCUAUACUUCACAUUUUGAGGAACUGCCAAACUGUUUUCCACAGUGGCUUGUACCGUUAUACAUUCCCACCAGCAAU
rnacentral:pre_miRNA from 1 species